AUUUGGUGGUGAGGGCACUUGAUGCACAACUUCUUGAAUCGCUCCCAAUAAUCAUAAAGUGACUCCCUUGGAUACUGUUUGAUAUCGCAGAUCUCCUUCUUUAAACU